CAUGUAGGCGGGCUUUUAAGUCCGACGUGAAAAUGCGGGGCUUAACCCCGUAUGGCGUUGGAUACUGGAAGUCUUGAGUGCAGGAGAGGAAAGGGGAAUUCCCAGUGUAGCGGUGAAAUGCGUAGAUAUUGGGAGGAACACCAGUGGCGAAGGCGCCUUUCUGGACUGUGUCUGACGCUCAGAUGCGAAAGCUAGGGUAGGCAAACG
rnacentral:rRNA from 1 species